rnacentral:rRNA from 1 species
UAGGGAAUAUUAGAAAUGGACGAAAGUCUGAUCUAGCAACACCGCGUGUGCGAAGAAGGCCUUCGGGUCGUAAAGCACUUUUUGGAGGGAAUAGGAAGGAAUGUACUUCCAGAAUAAGUCUCGGCUAACUACGUGCCAGCAGCCGCGGUAACACGUAGGAGGCGAACGUUAUCCGGAUUUACUGGGCGUAAAGCGCGUGUAGGUGGUUCUGUAAGUAGGGCGUGAAAGCUCCUGGCUCAACUGGGAGAGGCCGUUCUAAACUACAGAACUAGAGGAUGGUAGAGGGAGGUGGAAUUCCAGGUGUAGCGGUGGAAUGCGCAGAUAUCUGGAGGAACACCGGUGGCGAAGGCGGCCCCCUGAACCAUUCCUGACACUCAGACGCGAAAGCUAGGGUAGCAAACG